rnacentral:lncRNA from 1 species
AAUAAAAAUAAAAAAUAAAGUUUAUUUUGCCACAGUUGAGGAUGUGCACCCAUGGCGCAGUCUCAGGAGGUCCUGAUGUCAUGUGCCCAGGGUAGUCAGACCAUAGCUUGGUUUUAUACAUUUUAGGGAGAAAUGAGACAUCAGUUAAUAUAUGUAAGAUGAACAUUGGUUUGGUCCAGAAAGGCGGGACAGCUCAAAGCAGGGAGGGGGCUUCCAGGUCAUAGGUAGAAAAGAGACAAAUGGUUGCAUUCUUUUGAGUUUCUGAUUAGCUUCUCCAAAGGAGGCAAUGAGAUAUGCAUUUAUCUCUGAGCAGAGGGGUAACUUUGAAUAGAAUGGGAGGCAGGUUUGCCCUAAGAAGUUCUCAGCUUGACAUUUCCUUUUAGAUUAGUGAUUUGGGCAGGCAUGGGGGAGCUCAUACCUAUGAAUAGAGACAUAAAGUAGAAGGAUGGCUGUCAAGUGAUGAGGGAAGGGAGGAGUGAGGAGUUAGUGUUUAAUGGGUAUAGAGUUUUAGUUUCACAAGAUAAAAAGAGUUCUGUAGAUGGAUAGUGGUGAUGGUUGCACAACAAUAUAAAUGUACCUAAUACCACUGAAUUCUCCAUUUGAAAAUGGUUAAAAUGGGCCCGGUGCGGUGGCUCAUGCUUGUAAUCUUGUGGGAAACUGAGGAAUGGAGAGACCAAUAUGAGAGUACAGGAGGAUGUUUAUUUUAAGGUGUGCACCGGCUGAGUGGAUUCAAAUCCAAAAAGCUGAGCAUUAAACAAAGACAGAGCAGGGUUUUUAUAAGUGGACUUACAAAAGUAAAACAAAAGCAGUUAAUCAUAUAGUGCAUAACUUGUGGAGACAGUAAGCCUGUCAUCUCCACUCCUGGCUGGCUUGCCAAGAAAUGUUGCAGGAAACUGAGGAAUGGCGAGACCAAUAUGAGAGUACAGGAAGAUAUUUAUUUUUAGGUACGCACUGGCUGAGUGGAUUUAUAUCCAAAAACCUGAGCAUUAAACAAAGACAGAGCAGGGUUUUUAUAAGUGGACUUACAAAAGUAAAACAAAAGCAGUUAAUCAUAUAGUGCAUAACUUGUGGCCUUGCAUAGCUGGUGGCCUUGGAGCUGUGUCAAAAGAAAAUCAAGAACUGGCUAAAUACAGACAUUUGUAAAACAUAAUCAUGCUUAAGAAGCCAGGGAAAGAAGUAACAGUAAAGGAAUUUGUCUUUCUCUUUUUUUUUUUCCUUCAACCUUGUUCUGGAGGGGAGGGAUGUCUGCAGCCCAUUCCUUUGGCCUUGGCUUCUCAAAC